ACAUCCUUUUGACCGAUGCCUAAUCCAUCUUUCCUUCGGGGACAGAAGUGACAGGUCGUGCAUGGUUGUCGUCAGCUCUGUCGUGAGAUGUUGGUUAAGUCCCGCAACGAGCGCAACCCUUGCCUUUAGUUGCCAGCAUUAAGUUGGGCACUUUAGAGGGACCUGCCAGGGAUAACCUGGAGGAAGGUGGGGAUGACGUCAAAUCAUCAUGCCCCUUAUGCUUAGGGCUACACACGUGCUACAAUGGGUGGUACAGAGGGCAGCCAAGUCGUGAGGCGGAGCUAAUCCCUUAAAGCCAUUCUCAGUUCGGAUUGUAGGCUGAAACUCGCCUACAUGAAGCUGGAGUUACUAGUAAUCGCAGAUCAGAAUGCUGCGGUGAAUGCGUUCCCGGGUCUUGUACACACCGCCCGUCACAACCACGGGAGUUGGGAGGCGCCCGAAGCACGGAUUGCUAACCUUUUGGAAGCGUCCGUCGAAGGUGAAAUCAAUAACUGGGGUGAGUCGUAACAGAGGUAACCAAUC
rnacentral:rRNA from 1 species